rnacentral:piRNA from 1 species
UCAGUCAGAGAGCUUCAGCACUGUGCCA